rnacentral:lncRNA from 1 species
CUCCUCUGGGGCUGGUGUUCCAUCUACUCAGACACCUAGCUGCCCCUUUUAGGUGCUAUUUUGAUCCCUAUUUACAGUUGUGGAAACAGAGGCAGAGAGAGGUUAAGUGAUUUGCCCAGGUCUGAUUCCUAAGAAGUGUCUACAGCUGGAUUUAAACUUAGGUCUUCCUGUCUCUACCACCUGGCUGGCUCUAUUAGCUGUGUGACUCUUAACCACCAGCAGUGCCAGAAAACCCUCUUCUUCCCUGUUCCAGGCUCCUACUUGGGUCUCAGGAUCAUAGAUCUGGAGCUAGAAGGAGCCUUACAAGGCAACUAGCCCACUUGCCUCAUUUCACCAAUAACAAAAGUGAGGCUGAGGAACGGAGAGUGAUGUCCACAGUCACAGAGUAACUGCAUGGCGUCAAUGGAGGUGUCCUUUCUGAUCGGGAUCCUGGGAGGUUCUGUUCUGAUACAUCCAAACUCAGAAAUAGGAAAUGACACCUCAAGGAUUAGUUGGUAUCAUCAUUCACUUGAAGAGAAUCUGCACCUACUCACCAGCAGGCCAGGGGAGAGCAGUCCAAGCUGGAUCAUUCCCCAGAAGGAAUAUGAGAGGAGGCUGUCAACCCCUGAUGGGAAGUCUCUGGAGAUCCUGAAUCUGACCCUGGAAGACUGUGGGCUUUAUGUGGCUGAAAUCACAUCAGUCUCAGGAGUGUUCCAGACUGAAAAGUUCAAUUUAACCAUCUCUGUGGACAGCAGUGGUGAAGAACCAGUGGAACGACUGACCGAUGUAGAGAUGGGUUCUCUGUUAGGCCAUAAAAUACAGACUGAGGAUGAUCCGUAAAG